UUUUAGUGAGACGUGAGAAGUGGAACAUCAAGUGUGAAAAGAGAGAAAAAUUGUGAAACAAAAUCAAGAAUCAAGUGUUCAGUCUAGAAACAAAAGUAUUGAGUUUCUAAGACAGAUUCAUCAACACACAAAAACAGACUUCUAGUUUGUGAACAAAAUCUUUGUUUCCUAGUGAUUCAAAGAUGGACUUGAGCACCAACCUGUCAAAGAAGCAGAUUAACGACUUUCACUUUGAAUUACAAGGAACAUGCUCAAAUUACUCCAAGUGGGAGUUCUCAAAGUAGAGCAAAAGGAAGAGGUCAAUGAGCAAUCCUCCGUAAGAUGUGUUUUUCGAGGGCGAAAAGUCGUACAGAUUGGUGUCCCAAAAGAGACACAAAGUAUGUUAAGGAGUGAAAGGACCAUUCGAAGAAAAAAAGAAAAAUAUCUAAGAGAGUUUAAGUUUUUGAAGAUGGAUCUCCUUGGUUGUUUAAUAGGAUUCCUCCAGAUCUUUGUCAAAAUUUUGAAAAGCUUAAUGAAAGUGAACAAGUUUCAGAGAGUAAAAAGGGUAUGAUGUUUUGAAUAAUUCCUUGCCAGAAUACUGGAAGAAUGAACUUAAUGAAGUUAGAAUUGAAAUUGGGGAUACUAAAAAAUUAUGAAAGUACUAUGUAAUAAUAGGAGUUAAGUGGGUAAAACUUAAAACUUCACCCACAAUGUAUCCAAUACUUCCUUUUUUAUCAAUUUAAAUAUUUUUUUAUUAAA